AUGAAGUUGAACUGUAGAUUAACCAGGCUGUUGAUUUUACAGGGCUCCAUUGUUGAACUGUAGAAUAACAUGGCUGUUGUUUUACAGGGCUCCAUUGUUGAACUGUAGAAUAACAUGGCUAUUGAUUUACAGGGCUCCAUUGUUGAACUAUAGAAUAACAUGGCUGUUGAUUUACAGGGCUCCAUUGUUGAACUAUAGAAUAACAUGGCGAUUGUUUUACAGGGCUCCAUUGUUGAACUAUAGAAUAACAUGGCUAUUGAUUUACAGGGCUCCAUUGUUGAACUGUAUAAUAACAUGGCGAUUGUUUUACAGGGCUCCAUUGUUGAACUGUAGAAUAACAUGGCUGUUGAUUUACAGGGCUCCAUUGUUGAACUGUAGAUUAACCAGGCUAUUGAUUUACAGGGCUCCAUUGUUGAACUGUAGAAUAACAUGGCUAUUGAUUUACAGGGCUCCAUUGUUGAACUGUAGAAUAACAUGGCUGUUGAUUUACAGGGCUCCAUUGUUGAACUGUAUAAUAACAUGGCGAUUGUUUUACAGGGCUCCAUUGUUGAACUAUAGAAUAACAUGGCUGUUGAUUUACAGGGCUCCAUUGUUGAACUGUAGAUUAACAUGGCUGUUGAUUUUACAGGGCUCUAUUGUUGAACUGUAGAAUAACAUGGCUGUUGAUUUUACAGGGCUCCAUUGUUGAACUGUAGAUUAACCAGGCUGUUGAUUUACAGGACUCCAUUGUUGAACUAUAGAAUAACAUGGCUGUUGAUUUUACAGGUCUCUAUUGCAAAGCAGUGGUUCAGAAGCAGAGUGACUCUGAAUCACAUUCCUGACUCGGUUUGGAAAUGGAUUUCGAAAGCAUCAGCUAAGAUCACACGGGAUUAAAAAACAGCCAACCCAAGUCUCCUAUUGUCCCCUGACAGGAAAAGAGUGAAAAUGACACUACAGUUGAGGAACAAUGGGAAAGUAAUUUUGCUUUGAAAGUUGAUCAACUUGUAAACUAAUUUUUGAGAAAAUGGCGUUUGAAUGUUAUGGUACUACUACUGGAGAGCUCUUCUUUGUCUACACCCAUUCAGUGUCUUUCUUAAUAAGCUUUAUCCGCACCCAUCUCUUUAAGGGUUGAUCCAAGCGUUCUGUACUAACAACAGCAGUCAAGCACCCAAGCUAACUUGCUAGCUACUUCCAGACAUCUAAGUGAGAGAACAUCUCACUGAAUAUUAUAGGCCCAAGAAGAGCUGGUUAGGCUGUUAUGUUAUCCAGAGCGUUGGUGACUGCAACUGUGCUGUCAA